AAGCUACUGAGCAAAAAUACUAAUAUUUACAUAUAAAAAUUAAUUAAAAAUAUGAAUAGAUUUAAAAUAUAAAAACAAGAGGUGUGUCUCAUGCGGACAGUGGAGCACAAUGAUUCCACACUGAUUCUGAGUCAAUUGAUCACAUGACCUGGAAGCAAUUGAGCUUAAAUGCUAAUAUUUACAUCUAAAAAUUAAUUAAAAAUAUGAACAGAUUCAAAAUGUAAAAACAAGAGGUGUAUCUCAUGCAGCCAGUGGAGCACAAUGAUUCCACACUGAUUAAGAGUCAACUGAUCACAUGACCUGGAAGCUAUUGAGCUAAAUUGCUAAUAUUUACAUAUAAAAAUUAAUUAAAAAUAUGAACAGAU